UACGUAGGGUGCAAGCGUUAUCCGGAAUUAUUGGGCGUAAAGGGCGCGUAGGCGGUGCGGUAAGUCACCUGUGAAAUCUCCUGGCUCAACUGGGAGCUUGCAGGCGAAACUGCCGUGCUGGAGUGUGGGAGAGGUGCGUGGAAUUCCUGGUGUAGCGGUGAAAAUGCGUAGAUAUCAGGAGGAACACCUGUGGCGAAAGCGGCGCACUGGACCACAACUGACGCUGAGGCGCGAAAGCUAGGGGAGCAAACAGG
rnacentral:rRNA from 1 species